rnacentral:rRNA from 1 species
UACGAAGGGGGCUAGCGUUGUUCGGAUUUACUGGGCGUAAAGCGCACGUAGGCGGCUUUCUAAGUCGGGGGUGAAAUCCUGGAGCUCAACUCCAGAACUGCCUUCGAUACUGGAGAGCUCGAGUCCGGGAGAGGUGAGUGGAGCGUGCGAGUGUAGAGGUGAAAUUCGUAGAUAUUCGCAAGAACACCAGUGGCGAAGGCGGCUCACUGGCCCGGUACUGACGCUGAGGUGCGAAAGCGUGGGGAGCAAACAGG